ensembl:snRNA U6 U6 spliceosomal RNA
GUGCUCGCUUCGGCAGCAUAUAUACUAAAAUUGGAACAAUACAGAGAAGAUUAGCAUGGCCCCAUGCGCAAGGAUGACACGCAAAUUCGUAAAGUGUUCCAUAUUUAA